UACGUAGGGACCAAGCGUUGUUCGGAUUUACUGGGCGUAAAGGGCUCGUAGGCGGCCAACUAAGUCAGACGUGAAAUCCCCAGGCUCAACCUGGGAACUGCGUCUGAUACUGGAUGGCUUGAAUUCGGGAGAGGGAUGCAGAAUUCCAGGUGUAGCGGUGAAAUGCGUAGAUAUCUGGAGGAAUACCGGUGGCGAAGGCGGCAUCCUGGACCGACAUUGACGCUGAUGAGCGAAAGCUAGGGGAGCAAACGGG
rnacentral:rRNA from 1 species